GUCUCCGUUGGUGAACCAGCGGAGGGAUCAUUAUCGAGUUAUUCAACUCCCAAACCCUAUGUGAACUUACCACUUGUUGCUUCGGCGCGCGCUUCGGCGCCGCCGAGGACACUUAAACUCUUUGUUUUUAUAAGCAUUUCUGAGUGGCCGAAAGGCAAAAUACAAAUGAAUCAAAACUUUCAACAACGGAUCUCUUGGUUCUGGCACGAUGAAGAACGCAGC
rnacentral:misc_RNA from 1 species